rnacentral:rRNA from 1 species
GCGCGGGCUUCGGCCUGGCGGCGAGUGGCGGACGGGUGAGUAAUGCUUGGGAAUCUGCCCAGUAGUGGGGGACAACACGGCGAAAGCCGUGCUAAUACCGCAUACGUCCUACGGGAGAAAGCGGGGGAUCUUCGGACCUCGCGCUAUUGGAUGAGCCCAAGUCGGAUUAGCUAGUUGGUAGGGUAACGGCCUACCAAGGCGACGAUCCGUAGCUGGUCUGAGAGGACGAUCAGCCACACCGGAACUGAGACACGGUCCGGACUCCUACGGGAGGCAGCAGUAAGGAAUAUUGGGCAAUGGUCGAGAGACUGACCCAGCCAUGCCGCGUGCAGGAAGACGGCCUUAUGGGUUGUAAACUGCUUUUUUAUGGGGCUAACCUUCCGUACGUGUACGGGACUGCAGGUACCAUAAGAAUAAGCAUCGGCUAACUCCGUGCCAGCAGCCGCGGUAAUACGGAGGAUGCAAGCGUUAUCCGGAAUCAUUGGGUUUAAAGGGUGCGUAGGCGGGUUAUUAAGUCAGUGGUGAAAUUACAGUGCUUAACAUUGUAGCUGCCAUUGAUACUGAUAGUCUGGAGUUUAGUUGACGUUGGCGGAAUGUGUCAUGUAGCGGUGAAAUGCAUAGAUAUGACACAGAACACCGAUAGCGAAGGCAGCUGACGAAACUAUAACUGACGCUGAUGCACGAAAGCGUGGGGAUCAAACAGGAUUAGAUACCCUGGUAGUCCACGCUGUAAACGAUGAUCACUAGCUGUAUGCGAUACACAGUAUGUGGCUAAGGGAAACCGAUAAGUGAUCCACCUGGGGGAGUACGUCCGGCAACGAUGAAACUCAAAAGGAAUUGACGGGGGGCCCGCACAAGCGGAAGGAGCAUGUGGGUUUAAUUCCGAUGAUACGCCGAGGAACCUUUACCUGGGGCUUGAACGUAUGGGUGCAUGGGGGGUGAAAAGCCAUCUUUUCUAGCAAUAAGACUUCCUACCAAGGUGCUUG